rnacentral:rRNA from 1 species
CCUACGUGUGGCAGCAGUGAGGAAUAUUGGUCAAUGGGCGCGAGCCUGAACCAGCCAAGUAGCGUGAAGGAUGACUGCCCUACGGGUUGUAAACUUCUUUUAUAAAGGAAUAAAGUGAGGCACGUGUGCCUUUUUGUAUGUACUUUAUGAAUAAGGAUCGGCUAACUCCGUGCCAGCAGCCGCGGUAAUACGGAGGAUCCGAGCGUUAUCCGGAUUUAUUGGGUUUAAAGGGAGCGUAGAUGGGUUGUUAAGUUAGUUGUGAAAGUUUGCGGCUCAACCGUAAAAUUGCAAUUGAUACUGGCAGUCUUGAGUACAGUUGAGGUAGGCGGAAUUCGUUGUGUAGCGGUGAAAUGCUUAGAUAUCACGAAGAACUCCGAUUGCGAAGGCAGCUUACUAAACUGCCACUGACAUUGAUGCUCGAAAGUGUGGGUAUCAAACAGGAUUAGAUACCCUAGUAGUC